GAUGGCGGGUGCUUACCAUGCAGUCGAACGGUGAAGCCAAGCUUGCUUGGUGGAUCAGUGGCGAACGGGUGAGUAACACGUGAGCAACCUGCCCUGAACUCUGGGAUAAGCGCUGGAAACGGCGUCUAAUACUGGAUAUGAGCUGCGGAGGCAUCUUCGUGGUUGGAAAGAUUUUUCGGUUUGGGAUGGGCUCGCGGCCUAUCAGCUUGUUGGUGAGGUAAUGGCUCACCAAGGCGUCGACGGGUAGCCGGCCUGAGAGGGUGACCGGCCACACUGGGACUGAGACACGGCCCAGACUCCUACGGGAGGCAGCAGUGGGGAAUAUUGCACAAUGGGCGGAAGCCUGAUGCAGCAACGCCGCGUGAGGGAUGACGGCCUUCGGGUUGUAAACCUCUUUUAGCAGGGAAGAAGCGAAAGUGACGGUACCUGCAGAAAAAGCGCCGGCUAACUACGUGCCAGCAGCCGCGGUAAUACGUAGGGCGCAAGCGUUAUCCGGAAUUAUUGGGCGUAAAGAGCUCGUAGGCGGUUUGUCGCGUCUGCUGUGAAAACCCGAGGCUCAACCUCGGGCCUGCAGUGGGUACGGGCAGACUAGAGUGCGGUAGGGGAGAUUGGAAUUCCUGGUGUAGCGGUGGAAUGCGCAGAUAUCAGGAGGAACACCGAUGGCGAAGGCAGAUCUCUGGGCCGUAACUGACGCUGAGGAGCGAAAGGGUGGGGAGCAAACAGGCUUAGAUACCCUGGUAGUCCACCCCGUAAACGUUGGGAACUAGUUGUGGGGUCCAUUCCACGGAUUCCGUGACGCAGCUAACGCAUUAAGUUCCCCGCCUGGGGAGUACGGCCGCAAGGCUAAAACUCAAAGGAAUUGACGGGGACCCGCACAAGCGGCGGAGCAUGCGGAUUAAUUCGACGCAACGCGAAGAACCUUACCAAGGCUUGACAUACACGAGAACGCUGCAGAAAUGUAGAACUCUUUGGACACUCGUGAACAGGUGGUGCAUGGUUGUCGUCAGCUCGUGUCGUGAGAUGUUGGGUUAAGUCCCGCAACGAGCGCAACCCUCGUUCUAUGUUGCCAGCACGUAAUGGUGGGAACUCAUGGGAUACUGCCGGGGUCAACUCGGAGGAAGGUGGGGAUGACGUCAAAUCAUCAUGCCCCUUAUGUCUUGGGCUUCACGCAUGCUACAAUGGCCGGUACAAAGGGCUGCAAUACCGCGAGGUGGAGCGAAUCCCAAAAAGCCGGUCCCAGUUCGGAUUGAGGUCUGCAACUCGACCUCAUGAAGUCGGAGUCGCUAGUAAUCGCAGAUCAGCAACGCUGCGGUGAAUACGUUCCCGGGUCUUGUACACACCGCCCGUCAAGUCAUGAAAGUCGGUAACACCUGAAGCCGGUGGCCCAACCCUUGUGGAGGGAGCCGUCGAAGGUGGGAUCGGUAAUUAGGACUAAGUCGAACAAGUGCAGAAACG
rnacentral:rRNA from 1 species